CCUAAAGAGUAACGGAGGCGCUCAAUGGUUCCCUCAGUCUGGUCGGCAAUCAGACGGCGAGUGCAAUGGCACAAGGGAGCUUGACUGUGAGACUUACAAGUCGAACAGGGACGAAAGUCGGACAUAGUGAUCCUACCGUGGCACGUGGAAGCGCGGUGGCUUAACGGCUAAAAGGUACUCCGGGGAUAACAGGCUUAUACCCCCCAAGAGUCCAUAUCGACGGGGGUGUUUGGCACCUCGAUGUCGGCUCGUCGCAUCCUGGGGCUGAAGCAGGUCCCAAGGGUCGGGCUGUUCGCCCGUUAAAGCGGCACGCGAGCUGGGUUUAGAACGUCGUGAGACAGUUCGGUCCCUAUCCGUCGCAGGCGUAGGAGAUUUGAGAGGAUCUGUCCCUAGUACGAGAGGACCGGGAUGGACGUACCUAUGGUGUGCCAGUUGUCCUGCCAAGGGCACGGCUGGUUAGCUACGUACGGACAGGAUAAGCGCUGAAGGCAUCUAAGUGCGAAGCCCACCUCGAGAUGAGAUCUCCCACCGGGUAACCGGGUAAGGACCCUGGUAGAACACCAGGUUGAUAGGCCGGAAGUGUAAGCGCAGUAAUGUGUUCAGCGGACCGGUACUAAUAGUCCGAGGGCUUGAUAUUCG
rnacentral:rRNA from 1 species